CUCGCUGCUCGUCUGAUCCGACGGAGAGCCUGGAGGAGCGCCGAGUAAUCGAUGCUGUCGCCCCGCCCCAUCCCGUUUAGAAAGGCACUGGAGACACUGGUAGUAAUAGCCCCAUUUCAAAGAGGAGGACACUGAAGCCCAGGCAGUAAGAAUGAGGUACAUGGCCAACUGGAGGGUUAGCAAGGUGAAGAGGUGCUCUAUUGAGCAACAGUAAAGCUCUCAGGAGACCUGAAUUGGGUAGCUCCUAUCUGCAGGCAAGUUGUCCUGACAUCUCUGCAAGUCUGACUGAAACUGGGAUUUUUAUGUGCUUCAGAAGGGAGGAAGUGUGUGCUGACUGGUCCAUGGGCGGCCAUGGAUGGGCCCA